AUGCGUUUCAGGGAUGAGGAAACUGAGGAAGAGGAGCUAAACACCUUUGCAUGGUUCACAGGGAUUUGGUCACAGCAGAAGUUGUUGGAUUCAGGAGGCUACACCACCCCCAUCUGCACCUACACCACAAGCCCACACUUUCUCCUUUUGGUAUUACUGCAAUACAAAUGCUUCCUUUCUCUUAUGUGCUUGCCAAGAUCUGGAGCAGAAGCGUCAUAUUCUCAACUAUGCCAGUGGAUGUGGUCAUUCCAUUGUCAAGGUCUCCCAUGUGCAGGACAAACUCCAGGAAAGCUGCAGAGUGACAGUCUACCAGUGCUUGCCAGCAAUUCCAUUUGACAGCAUGUAAGCACAAGAUAUUGAAAACGGAGUGGGGAGUAAUGCUGCAUCUCAGCACAGGCUCCCAGGCACUGUCCUCUCAAACAGACAGUUGUAAAAACUCUGGGGUUUUGGGAUUAACUCUUUAGAGAUGCUUAUUAAACAGAACAGAUUAAAGCAGGUAUUGUUCUUAGUCCAACCUUUAUUAUGUUUACAUAAUGCUAAGUCAGAUGUGCUUGUUAAUCACUUUCAGUAGCAUUAACUUUUUUGACAUUGUACUUGUGUUGAUAUACAAAAUAAAAUAAUUUAUUGAAAUAAAAGGUCA
rnacentral:lncRNA from 1 species